rnacentral:rRNA from 1 species
UACGGAGGGAGCUAGCGUUGUUCGGAAUUACUGGGCGUAAAGCGCACGUAGGCGGCUUUCUAAGUCAGGGGUGAAAUCCCGGGGCUCAACCCCGGAACUGCCCUUGAAACUGGAUGGCUAGAAUCCUGGAGAGGCGAGUGGAAUUCCGAGUGUAGAGGUGAAAUUCGUAGAUAUUCGGAAGAACACCAGUGGCGAAGGCGGCCUGCUGGGCUAUGGCUGACACUGAGGCGCGACAGCGUGGGGAGCAAACAGG